CAGGUCUUAUUAGGAGCAUUAUACCUGAAUAUUCUCCCAGUGCCUUCAUCCAGGCCCCAUAUUUCCUCAGGCCUCUUCAGAGCAUUUAAUAAAUUGCCGGUGAGAAGGAGCCUUAGUUUUUUUUCUUUUUUCUUUUUUUUUACAGUAAAGUCCUUCCAAACUGGUGGUUCCUCAGGAGAAAAUCUUCGUAUAUGGAAAGAAGGGCUUUUCCUUGGUUUUGGCAUCAGAAUGAUGAUGACGUUCAAAGGGUGUUGUGAAUUUGAAAUCACCUCCAUUGUUGGGCCUUCCUUGACCACUCUAAGAGAAGCCAGGCAGUAUCACUCCACCAAAUCCUUCCAUUUUAUUAUCCAGGUAGUACUUUUCACAAUCCUGUAUUUUUCUUGUUUGUUGCUAUCUGGAUCCACUUUUAGAAUUUAGUCUACCUUGUUUUCUGCUGUAUCCACAGGGCCUCAGAACACAGUAAGUUUCAUUGGUUAUUCGUCACAUGAAUGUGUUUAUAAAAAGGCACACAAAUGAUAGGAACCCGACUUACAGCUGACUGGUUAGGGUUACUUUGUGAUACUUGGGAAUCAAAGCUCUUGCUGAUGGUAGCAGACAUCUCAAGUUUUUCCUGUGAAUUCACAGUGAUAUAAGAUGGAAGUUACUUCUGACCACCAUAGUAAUGCACAAUGUAUUAUCAGCUCACUGAAAUAUGCUUUCAUUUUCUUGUAACUAAUAUUGAGUAGGGCACUAGCACCAGAAACAGUGCAAGCCACUGCAGAAGCUGGAGUAAACAGGUAAAAGAGCUAACAUUUAUUAAGCACUUAUAUGUCAUGAACACUUGUGCAAAUUUUUCUGCUAUAUUUUAUUGCUUGGAUAUUACCCAAUUUAUUGAUCUAUUCUGCUUUCAAUGAACAUUUCCUGUUUAUACUGAUAAGUAUUUUAACUAAUGUCUCCUAAUGCACAUAUGCAAUGAUUUCUCUUAGAAUGUUGGUUCUUAAUUUGUGGUCCUUGAACAAGGAGCUUAACCUCCAUUAGAUUAGUGAGUCAGAAUCUCUGUGGCUGGGACCCAGAAUCUGGGUAUUAACAAGCUCUCCAGGUGCUCAUGAUGCACAGUAGAAUCACCUGGAGAGCUUUUACCAAAACCUAGGGGUUGAACCCUACUCAGAACAAUUUUGUCAUGAUCUUGCUGGAUAAGUUGCUGUGAUUCUGUGAAGUUGCUGGAGUUGAGAGCUGUGGCUGUUGGUUAUGUAAGUAGAAGUUGGAUUUUCAGGUCCUACAGGAUGGGGUUGUUAAAUUUUACCAAGUGGUUUUCCCAAAUGGUUGUUCUGAUUUAUGCUCCCACCAGCACUUGAUGAGUAUUCUGUUGUUCCAUAUCUUUACCAGAACUUGUAUUAUUUGACUUUAUAAUUAUUGGUGCUUUGAUAGGUAUGAGAUGGUAUAAUUUUAAUUUGUAUUUGUUUGAUUCGUAAUGGAGUUGAGCAUCUUUUUGUAUAUUUAAAGGCCACCAAAACUUUUUUAUCCUCUGAAAUGCAUGUUCUUGGCCUUCUGCUAUUUUUUUCUACUAAAUUGUCUGUUUAUUAAUUUGCGGUAAUUCUUUGGGUGUCCGGGAUAC
ensembl:lncRNA